rnacentral:rRNA from 1 species
CCAAUAGCGUAUAUUAAAGUUGUUGCAGUUAAAAAGCUCGUAGUUGAAUUUCGGGACUAAUAUGUCGGUCGUGCCUCGGUACGAACUGGUUUAUAGGUCUCUCCUUUCUGAAGAACCGUGAUGUCAUUUAUUUGGUGUCGUGGGGAAUCAGGACUGUUACUUUGAAAAAAUUAGAGUGUUUAAAGCAGGCUCACGCUUGAAUACAUUAGCAUGGAAUAAUGAAAUAGGACGUUUGAUUCUAUUUUGUUGGUUUCUAGGAUCGACGUAAUGAUUAAUAGGGAUAGUUGGGGGCAUUAGUAUUCAAUUGUCAGAGGUGAAAUUCUUGGAUUUAUUGAAGACUAACUACUGCGAAAGCAUUUGCCAAGGAUGUUUUCAUUAAUCAAGAACGAAAGUUAGGGGAUCGAAGACGAUCAGAUACCGUCGUAGUCUUAACCAUAAACUAUGCCGACUAGGGAUCGGAUGAUGUUAAUUUUUUAAUGACUCAUUCGGCGCCUUACG